CGUAAAGUACGUACCUUGGUACCGCCCCAUUUGUUCGUUUGACCUGACACCGCAGUUAUCAGUUGUACGCGACGAUAACCACUUCGUCGUCACGGUAUACCUGUAUAUUUUUACCUUUAAAUUUUGAAGGUAAAUCGGUUUCCUGUGUUAUAUAGCGAAAUUGGAUUUGUGUUUGGGUAGUGAAGUUUGAGUUAAGUGGAGUUUUGUUCCUAACUUGGGCUGUUGACAUUAUUUACAUUGUGAAGUGUUGUGAUGACGUCGAUUUGACGUUAGGAACGUCAACGUGACAACUUUUUUACACAGAGAACUGACUAUAAUUGAAUAGUGCCAUUAUUUCUUAAACUGAAGUAUAAAAUCGCAACCAUGGAACCAAACGUGUCAAACGUUAGGUGCAGUGAAGUUGGUGAAGUGAAUAAAAGUGAAGUGAAAAUGGAGCCCGAGGAUGAGGAGGUGGUGGUGCGUGGUAACCAGCGGGAGAACCGUCUCACCACCAUUAUUGACCAGCUGCGGUGCCAGGGGAAGAACAGAGGAAACAGUCAGCGGGAUUGUUUCGCCUUUGCACCAAGUAAUGGUAAGUGAAUGUUGAUGGUUGAAAUUGUAUUUAGAUUUUGCGGUUUUUGUACUGAAGAUUGAAAGUAAUAUAAUAUUUUGUUAUAAGUAUACAUAAAACAUAACAGUAUUUAAUGAUUUCUCUCCAGCGUAUCAGACUAAGUACCUAUCUAUGUAUAACCAACCAUUACAUUAAAAAGUUAGACAGCUUCUGAUAAAUAUUAUCGAUAGAUUGUAUUUAAAAGGUUAUUCAUUUUAAUCUUUGAUAAGCAAUUUAAAGCCAUAAUAUCUUACCCGUUACAAAGAUAUUGUUUUAUGCAAUGCCAUUCUAGAAUCCGGAAAUGUAGAGCGGGUAUCAAAGAUGUAGAUUAUUAACAGUGCCAGCAGCGGGUAGCCAGCAGGUAGCAGGUAGCAGGUAGUAAAUGGGUGAAAGGUUUCAUUGUGGUGUCAUGCGCAGGCGCAUGCGGCCGCGCUCGGUGCGCCGCCGGCCCCGAUACGCACACAAGAUAAACUGAAUUGCUAGCGUGCUUUUUGUUUUUUAUGUUUGAAUGUUAAGGUUAUGAUUUGGAAGUUUUAAGAAUAUUUUUUGGUCCAUAGAUGGCGCUGAAUAUAGAUUUCGUGGAAUGGUUUUGGAAGUAUUAGAAAUCGCGAUGAAUGUGUACUAUUAUUAAGCAUAAUAAAAUAAAAUUGUUAUGUGCGUCUCAUCGGAUUGAUUUUUAGGUGGAUUAUGUUCGAAUAAUUUAUCUUUAGUAAAAUAUCACUACACUGCCUUCAAGCUAGAAAAAAAAAUUACGGAAAUUUUAUAUUGGGCGCAAAUCUUCAGCGGAAAUGUAUAUCAUAACUAUGAACUGAACCAUAUGCGAUUUCAGUAAAAAAAAAACAACCUAGACCCAGUGUAGGAGAAGAAAUCAUAUCAAUUAAUUUAUAAUUUUAUAACUGAAAAUAUGGUAUAACUUAAAGAAAUUAAUGAAUAAUGAACACUCAGAAAAUGUGAACUUAUCUAUACAAAGAUAAAUUAUAUUUCAUAUUACUUUCUAAACCUCUAUCUGAUAUAAAAUUUGCAUUUGAUCAGAGAUUUCAUUCCGCGAUAUAAUUAAAGGCGAUCGUAAAACUAUGAAUGUGGACCAAUAAACAAAUUUAAUUGAGUAUUAUGACAAAGAAUUACGGUUUAAAUGCAUAAUUUUGUUGUUUUCGCUUAGGCGCUGGAUAACAAGUAGCGCUGUCCUUCGUAAUUACUUUAAUCUCAGUUUGUAUCUCACAACUCGUUUUCUCGACAGUUACUGUUGAUUUUGGUGUCAGGGGGCAAAAUGUAGUAAGUACAUUUUUAAAAAAAAUUGUGGUAUGGUUUAUAGGGUACAUUGAGGGAUUGGUGCUUUCAUUAAUUUGGGUUGAUUUUAGUUUCAGGGAGAGCAGUAUUGUAAGUACAAUUUUUAAAAAAUGCGUGUAUUUGCAAUGGUAUAGUUUACAAUGUACCACACAUUCUGCUGUUAUUUUGGGUUGACUUGCAUCUAAACAAUAAAUUAAACUCAUAAUUUAUUAACAUAUUAUAGACAUUAAGAUAUUUUAUUAAACACGUCGCUUUUUUGCUCGUUGUAAGCUGAUAAUGAAUAUCAAAUUUAUUUCAAUGCUCUAAGUAUCGUGAAGUACAAUAGCAGCUUUUGCAAGUUUUAUCAGUCUUUCUCACAGUAAUUGUUUUCGAUUUUAAAAUUUUCAUUUAAUUUUUUUUUCUAAAUCAUGUACACAUGAAAAUCUUUUUGCUAUAACGCAUGUUUUAAAAUGUGCCGUAUCCACAAAAAUUAAAACUAAACUUACGUAUUUGGUACAUAUAUACCCAGUUUUAGCGGGUAAUGUUUGAACCGGUAUUGUCCAGUGUCCGGGGCUCAGCACUCUCUGUUUUGUCAUCUGUUAAAGUUAUGACCGCUUUAAAAACGUUUAUUACAAGCAAUGACAAUAAAAUAAUGAUUGACGACGUGACAAUUGAUUUAUUUGAUGGAUUGACAUAAUUUUUUACUCAUUAUAAAACUCGUUUUAUAUAAUACAUAUUUAUUUGCUAAUCAGAUAUGGAAAUGUAUCAGUAUGACGUUUUAUUACCUUAAAUUAUGUUUUAUAAUGUGAGUGAUGGAUGGCUUUCUUGAGUGUCUCGUAUUGAAAUGUAGAUUGCAUUAAAGUACAUAUUGAUGUUUAAAACUGUUUUUGUAAAUGUGUUUCAUGCUGUUUUAUUUUAUUCAACCUUAUUGGAUCUUGAUGAAAUACAUUUCCUUAUUUAUUUGGCAGUAUUUUCAGUCGUCUCUAUAAUGUAUUUUUUUUUACGUAAUUUUGCAUUUUGAAUUAACAACCAUCACAUCACAGAGGCAAUAAGCGAUUAAUUUUAUAGUUGAAUAAAAACGAUACAUCCGAAUACAACUCGAAUUGACAGCUCGAAGCCUUCUUUCCUAGAAGCAUGUAAUAAGAUCAUUCUGUUGAAC